rnacentral:rRNA from 1 species
UACGUAGGUGGCAAGCGUUAUCCGGAAUUAUUGGGCGUAAAGAGCGCGCAGGUGGUUAAUUAAGUCUGAUGUGAAAGCCCACGGCUUAACCGUGGAGGGUCAUUGGAAACUGGUUGACUUGAGUGCAGAAGAGGGAAGUGGAAUUCCAUGUGUAGCGGUGAAACGCGUAGAGAUAUGGAGGAACACCAGUGGCGAAGGCGGCUUCCUGGUCUGCAACUGACACUGAGGCGCGAAAGCGUGGGGAGCAAACAGG